UACGGAGGGUGCAAGCGUUAAUCGGAAUUACUGGGCGUAAAGCGCACGCAGGUGGCCUGUUAAGUCAGAUGUGAAAGCCCUGGGCUCAACCUGGGAACUGCAUUUGAUACUGGCAGGCUAGAGUAUAGUAGAGGAAAGGGGAAUUUCCGGUGUAGCGGUGAAAUGCGUAGAUAUCGGAAGGAACAUCAGUGGCGAAGGCGCCUUUCUGGACUAAUACUGACACUCAGGUGCGAAAGCGUGGGGAGCAAACAGG
rnacentral:misc_RNA from 1 species